rnacentral:rRNA from 1 species
AAACAUUGUCUUAUGAAUAAAAUACAAGAUAAUACCUGCCCAGUGACACAAAUGUUAAACGGCCGCGGUAUCCUAACCGUGCAAAGGUAGCAUAAUCACUUGCCUAUUAAUUGUAGGCUAGAAUGAACGGGUUAACGAAAUAAAAACUGUCUCAAUUAAUUACCUAAAAAUAAUUUUCUACAUGAAGAAAAGUAGAUAUCCUCGAAGGACAAGAAGACCCUAUAGAGCUUAAUUUAAAUUAUAGAAUUACACUAUAAAAUUAUUCGGUUGGGGCGACCCAGGGCUAAUAAUCACCCAUUAUACAAAAGAUAAAUAAAUCUAACUAAUGACCCAAGAAGAUCAUAAGACCAAGCUACCUUAGGGAUAACAGGCUAAUCCCACUUAAGAGUCCCUAUCAACAGUGGGGUUUGGCACCUCGAUGUUGGCUUAGGGUAUCAAUAUAGCGCAAAAGUUAUAUAAAGAUGGUUUGUUCAACCAAUAACUCCCUACGUGAUC